rnacentral:tRNA from 1 species
UCGAAUCCAACCAGACCCA